UACGUAGGUGGCAAGCGUUGUCCGGAUUUAUUGGGUUUAAAGGGUGCGUAGGCGGCCCUGUAAGUCAGUGCUGAAAUAUCCCGGCUUAACCGGGAGGGUGGCAUUGAUACUGCGGGGCUAGAGUACAGAUGAGGUAGGCGGAAUUGACGGUGUAGCGGUGAAAUGCUUAGAUAUCGAGAGGAACACCAGCGGCGAAGGCGGCUCACUGGGCACCACCUGACGCUGAGGCGCGAAAGCGUGGGGAGCGAACCGG
rnacentral:rRNA from 1 species